rnacentral:rRNA from 1 species
UAGAGUUUGAUCAUGGCUCAGGACGAACGCUGGCGGCGCGCUUAACACAUGCAAGUCGAGCGAGAACCCAGGCUUCGGCCUGGGGGAAAGCGGCGAACGGGUGAGUAACACGUGGGUAAUCUGCCCUCGACAUCGGGAUAGCCCGGGGAAACCCGGAUUAAUACCGGAUAGCCCAACAGCUCUUCGGAGCGGUUGGAAAAGGUAGCUUUGGCCUCCGGUCGAGGAGGAGCCCGCGGCGGAUUAGCUUGUUGGUGAGGUAAUGGCUCACCAAGGCGACGAUCGGUAGCUGGUCUGAGAGGAUGACCAGCCUCACUGGGACUGAGACACGGCCCAGACUCCUACGGGAGGCAGCAGUGGGGAAUAUUGGACAAUGGGCGCAAGCCUGAUCCAGCCAUGCCGCGUGGAUGAUGAAGGCCCUAGGGUUGUAAAGUCCUUUUAACGGGGAAGAUAAUGACGGUACCCGUAGAAUAAGCCCCGGCUAA